rnacentral:rRNA from 1 species
UACGGGGGAUGCAAGUGUUACUCAGCAUUACUGGGCGUAAAGCGUAUGUAUGGUGGUUUUUUUUAAUUUUAGUUGAAAAAUAAUUGUAAUACAAUUGUAAAAACUUUAAUAUUAUAAAACUUUGAGUGUAUAUCACGUAAAUAGUAUUUAUAGAGUAAAGGUGAAAUUUUAUAUACUAUAAAGACUGAUCAAAUGAUUAAAAUUAUUUACUAGAAUACACUGACGCUAAAGUACGAAGGCGUGGGGAUCAAAAAGG